rnacentral:rRNA from 1 species
UACGUAGGGUGCGAGCGUUGUCCGGAAUUAUUGGGCGUAAAGGGCUCGUAGGCGGUUUGUCGCGUCGGGAGUGAAAUCCACUGGCUUAACUGGUGGCUUGCUUUCGAUACGGGCAGACUGGAGGCAUGCAGGGGAGAACGGAAUUCCUGGUGUAGCGGUGAAAUGCGCAGAUAUCAGGAGGAACACCGGUGGCGAAGGCAGCUCGCUGGGACGUUACUGACGCUGAGACGCGAAAGCGUGGGGAGCAAACAGG